rnacentral:rRNA from 1 species
UACGUAGGUGGCUAGCGUUGUCCGGAUUUACUGGGCGUAAAGAGCGCGCAGGCGGUCGUUCAAGUCGAGUGUGAAAGCCCCCAGCUCAACUGGGGAGGGUCACUCGAUACUGAUCGACUCGAAGGCAGGAGAGGGAAGCGGAAUUCCCGGUGUAGUGGUGAAAUGCGUAGAUAUCGGGAGGAACACCAGUGGCGAAGGCGGCUUUCUGGCCUGUUCUUGACGCUGAGGCGCGAAAGCUAGGGUAGCAAACGGG